AGUGAACGCUGGCGGUAGGCCUAACACAUGCAAGUCGAACGGCAGCACAGUAAGAGCUUGCUCUUACGGGUGGCGAGUGGCGGACGGGUGAGGAAUACAUCGGAAUCUACUUUUUCGUGGGGGAUAACGUAGGGAAACUUACGCUAAUACCGCAUACGACCUACGGGUGAAAGCAGGGGAUCUUCGGACCUUGCGCGAUUGAAUGAGCCGAUGUCGGAUUAGCUAGUUGGCGGGGUAAAGGCCCACCAAGGCGACGAUCCGUAGCUGGUCUGAGAGGAUGAGCUGCCACACUGGAACUGAGACACGGUCCAGACUCCUACGGGAGGCAGCAGUGGGGAAUAUUGGACAAUGGGCGCAAGCCUGAUCCAGCCAUACCGCGUGGGUGAAGAAGGCCUUCGGGUUGUAAAGCCCUUUUGUUGGGAAAGAAAAGCAGCAGGUUAAUACCCCGCUGUUCUGACGGUACCCAAAGAAUAAGCACCGGCUAACUUCGUG
rnacentral:rRNA from 1 species